rnacentral:rRNA from 1 species
UGGGGAAUAUUGGACAAUGGGCGCAAGCCUGAUCCAGCAAUGCCGCGUGUGUGAAGAAGGCCUUCGGGUUGUAAAGCACUUUUAUCAGGAGCGAAACGCUGUCGGCUAAUACCCGGCGGAACUGACGGUACCUGAGGAAUAAGCACCGGCUAACUUCGUGCCAGCAGCCGCGGUAAUACGAAGGGUGCAAGCGUUAAUCGGAAUUACUGGGCGUAAAGCGUGCGUAGGCGGUUUCUUAAGUCUGCUGUGAAAUCCCCGGGCUCAACCUGGGAAUGGCAGUGGAUACUGGGAGGCUAGAGUGUGUCAGAGGGUGGUGGAAUUCCCGGUGUAGCGGUGAAAUGCGUAGAGAUCGGGAGGAACAUCAGUGGCGAAGGCGGCCACCUGGGACAACACUGACGCUGAGGCACGAAAGCGUGGGGAGCAAACAGGAUUAGAUACCCUGGUAGUCCACGCCCUAAAUGAUGCGAACUGGAUGUUGGUCUCAACUCGGAGAUCAGUGUCGAAGCUAACGCGUUAAGUUCGCCGCCUGGGGAGUACGGUCGCAAGACUGAAACUUAAAGG